rnacentral:lncRNA from 1 species
UGUGAAACCAAUGGUGGUGGAGGUCCCAAAGGAGGUGGCGGUGGUGGCAGUGAUGAAACAGGAGGUGGAGGCGGAGGUGGUGGAGGUGAAGGAGAUGAAGGAGGUGGUGGCGGUGGCGGUGGCGGCGGCGGCGGUGAUGGAGGCAAAGGUGGCAGUGGAGGAGGAGAUUCUGGAGGCAAAGGUGGGGAGCCCUCGGGUAAAGGGGGCAACUCACUAUAAUUAUUUGAAGCUGGAUGCAAGAUCCUAUCUGAGCCACUCCUUUGAUCAGUUUCAAAAGAACCACUUUCAUCCUUUUGGUGUCCAGAAACAUCUUCCAUUUCAAGUUCACCAUCCACAUCCUCUAAGAUGCAAUGACGCCUAUCAUUUGGAG